GUGGGGAAUUUUGGACAAUGGGCGAAAGCCUGAUCCAGCAAUGCCGCGUGCAGGAUGAAGGCCCUCGGGUUGUAAACUGCUUUUGUACGGAACGAAAAGCCUGGGGCUAAUAUCCCCGGGUCAUGACGGUACCGUAAGAAUAAGCACCGGCUAACUACGUGCCAGCAGCCGCGGUAAUACGUAGGGUGCAAGCGUUAAUCGGAAUUACUGGGCGUAAAGCGUGCGCAGGCGGUUUUGUAAGACAGUGGUGAAAUCCCCGGGCUCAACCUGGGAACGGCCAUUGUGACUGCAAGGCUAGAGUGCGGCAGAGGGGGAUGGAAUUCCGCGUGUAGCAGUGAAAUGCGUAGAUAUGCGGAGGAACACCGAUGGCGAAGGCAAUCCCCUGGGCCUGCACUGACGCUCAUGCACGAAAGCGUGGGGAGCAAACAGGAUUAGAUACCCGGGUAGUCC
rnacentral:rRNA from 1 species